GAUGAAGAACGUAGCGAAAUGCGAUAAGUAAUGUGAAUUGCAGAAUUCAGUGAAUCAUCGAAUCUUUGAACGCACAUUGCGCCCGCCAGUAUUCUGGCGGGCAUGCCUGUCCGAGCGUCAUUUCAACCCUCGAACCCCUCCGGGGGGUCGGCGUUGGGGAUCGGCCCUUUCACCGGGUGCCGGCCCCUAAAUACAGUGGCGGUCUCGCCGCAGCCUCUCAUGCGCAGUAGUUUGCACACUCGCAUCGGGAGCGCGGCGCGUCCACGUCCGUAAAACACCCCAACUUCUGAAAUGUUGACCUCGGAUCAGGUAGGAAUACCCGCUGAACUUAAGCAUAUCAAUAAGCGGAGGA
rnacentral:misc_RNA from 1 species